CUUCGGGCUCCGCACAGCGCGAGCCCCACGAAACCCGCCAGGCUGGGAACAGAGCAACGGUAGUGCGGGCAGCGUGUGUUGCGGGUCGGUCCGGAGCCU
rnacentral:SRP_RNA from 1 species